CCUGGUGAUUUAGUUGAGCGUGCCCUACCCGAUCCAUUCCGAACUCGGAAGUAAAAGCGCUCAAUGCUGAUGAUACUGGCCGCUUCGGCGGCAGGGAAAGUAAGCUUUGCCAGGA
rnacentral:rRNA from 1 species